CGACGAUAUCUUGAUUCAAAAAUGAUAAUUUGACCCUAAAAUAAUAGUUAAACCAUAUAAGCACAGAAAACAACCACUCAAAAUUAACUUCUACUAGCUGAUAAUACUAAAAUACAUCACGCCAUCGCGAACAAAUUUAAUCAUCAAGAAGUUCGAUCAAAAAACAAACAAACCACCCUAGAUUGAAUCUCAUAGCUCAAAAUACAAUGAAAUAAAACAGAAUCGCAAGAAAAGAGAGAUGAAAUCUGAACCUGAAAUUUCGAACUUCUUUUGAUAACAAAAUCGAAGGCGAUUACAUAGUUUUGACUCAAAACUUUCAACAGUAAAACAACAGCAGGUCAAGGUUCGUAGCACAGCCAAACCAGUAGCAAAUACGAGCAGCAAUCGGAAGUUUAGACGGCGACGAACUCAGCAGCUUUCAAUCGAACUCCAUUUUGAGAACAAAAAUCAAACCAAAUAUUGAAAUCUUUUGGUGAUUUUCUAAUUUCUUCUGAAUUGAAACUCGAAUAAAAAUCAAACCGAAACUUUUUUUGUAAAUUUUUUUUUUGAAAAUGCAGUACCAGAUAGAAGUGAAGGAAAGCAAAGAACCAUAGAACCCUUUUUACCUCUCCCAAUUUUUCAGCCCCCUCACGAAAAUAGAUAAAUCUAUUUUGAAGACCAAUCCUUGAUGAAUGUGGCGCUCAGAUUGAGUGUAAUCACUCCAACGCCUCACACUCAUCUAGAAUUCCUCUUCCAGACCCUUCCAACCACGUGUUUAAACUCGAAUUCGAGCGAGUGGGAGGAGGAAUCUUGGCAUCAGAAACCAUUAGCAACAGCAAGAGAAGAUAUAUAAGGAUGUGUGGGUUAGGGCUUGAUUCUCACUCGCGUGAAUUUUGGCGAUUUUUGGGACGAAAUUAGGGGGCUGGGCUCGCUAGAGAACAAAAACAGUAUGCGUUUGAUUAGGGGUUUGGCUCAUCCGUUAUGUUUGUGUUUAAUCGUGGGGCGAG
rnacentral:lncRNA from 1 species